rnacentral:rRNA from 1 species
UGUGUGACUGCGUACCUUUUGUAUAAUGGGUCAGCGACUUAUAUUCUGUAGCAAGGUUAACCGUAUAGGGGAGCCGUAGGGAAACCGAGUCUUAACCGGGCGUUAAGUUGCAGGGUAUAGACCCGAAACCCGGUGAUCUAGCCAUGGGCAGGUUGAAGGUUGGGUAACACUAACUGGAGGACCGAACCGACUAAUGUUGAAAAAUUAGCGGAUGACCUGUGGCUGGGGGUGAAAGGCCAAUCAAACCGGGAGAUAGCUGGUUCUCCCCGAAAGCUAUUUAGGUAGCGCCUCGUGAACUCAUCUCCGGGGGUAGAGCACUGUUUCGGCUAGGGGGCCAUCCCGGCUUACCAACCCGAUGCAAACUGCGAAUACCGGAGAAUGUUAUCACGGGAGACACACGGCGGGUGCUAACGUCCGUCGUGAAGAGGGAAACAACCCAGACCGCCAGCUAAGGUCCCAAAGUCAUGGUUAAGUGGGAAACGAUGUGGGAAGGCCCAGACAGCCAGGAUGUUGGCUUAGAAGCAGCCAUCAUUUAAAGAAAGCGUAAUAGCUCACUGGUCGAGUCGGCCUGCGCGGAAGAUGUAACGGGGCUAAACCAUGCACCGAAGCUGCGGCAGCGAACGUAUCACUUAAAGCGAUUCAGCGGGUUACGAUUGACGGAGCGAAGCGACGUCAAAGCGUAUACAAAGUCGAGUCGGUUUAAGGAUACGUUCGUUGGGUAGGGGAGCGUUCUGUAAGCCUGUGAAGGUGGCCUGUGAGGGUUGCUGGAGGUAUCAGAAGUGCGAAUGCUGACAUAAGUAACGAUAAAGCGGGUGAAAAGCCCGCUCGCCGGAAGACCAAGGGUUCCUGUCCAACGUUAAUCGGGGCAGGGUGAGUCGACCCCUAAGGCGAGGCCGAAAGGCGUAGUCGAUGGGAAACGGGUUAAUAUUCCCGUACUUGGUGUUACUGCGAAGGGGGGACGGAGAAGGCUAUGUUGGCCGGGCGACGGUUGUCCCGGUUUAAGCGUGUAGGUGUGUGUUCCAGGUAAAUCCGGUUCACUUUAACACUGAGGCGUGACGACGAGGCACUACGGUGCUGAAGCAACAAAUGCCCUGCUUCCAGGAAAAGCCUCUAAGCAUCAGGUAACAUCAAAUCGUACCCCAAACC